rnacentral:rRNA from 1 species
CCGUUGCCGGCGACCGGCGCACGGGUGAGUAACACGUAUGCAACCUGCCCGUGGCAGGGGGAUAAGCGGGGGAAACCCCGUCUAAUACCGCGUAACGCGGCCUAGGGACAUCCCAAGGCCGCCAAAGGGAGCAAUCCCGGCCACGGAUGGGCAUGCGGCGCAUUAGCUAGUCGGCGGGGUAACGGCCCACCGAGGCGACGAUGCGUAGGGGUUCUGAGAGGAAGGCCCCCCACACUGGUACUAAGACACGGACCAGACUCCUACGGAAGGCAGCAG